rnacentral:rRNA from 1 species
GACGAACGCUGGCGGCGUGCCUAACACAUGCAAGUCGAACGAAGCGCUGCGGAAAGAGACUUCGGUCAAUGGAAGCUUUUGACUUAGUGGCGGACGGGUGAGUAACGCGUGAGGAACCUGUCCUUUCAGGUGGGGGACAACAGUUAGGAAACGACUGCUAAUACCGCAUAAUGUUGGUUUGGGGCAUCCCGUGGAACAACCAAAGUAUUUAUUGCUAGAAAGAUCGGCCUCGCGUCUGAUUAGAUAGUUGGUGGGGUAACGCCUACCAAGUCGACGAUCAGUAGCCGGACUGAG